UACGUAGGGGGCAAGCGUUGUCCGGAAUUAUUGGGCGUAAAGCGCGCGCAGGCGGCUUAUUAAGUCUGAUGUGAAAGCCCACGGCUCAACCGUGGAGGGCCAUUGGAAACUGGUAGGCUUGAGUGCAGGAGAGGAGAGCGGAAUUCCCGGUGUAGCGGUGAAAUGCGUAGAUAUCAGGAGGAACACCUGUGGCGAAGGCGUCCAUCUGGCCCGUUACUGACGCUGAUGCGCGAAAGCUAGGGGAGCAAACGGG
rnacentral:rRNA from 1 species